UACGGGGGGGGCAAGCGUUGUUCGGAAUUACUGGGCGUAAAGGGCUCGUAGGCGGCCAACUAAGUCCGACGUGAAAUCCCCAGGCUUAACCUGGGAACUGCGUCGGAUACUGGAUGGCUUGAAUCCGGGAGAGGGAUGCGGAAUUCCAGGUGUAGCGGUGAAAUGCAUAGAUAUGACUUAGAACACCAAUUGCGAAGGCAGCUUGCUAAACAAUUAUUGACGCUGAGGCACGAAAGCGUGGGGAUCAAACAGG
rnacentral:rRNA from 1 species